rnacentral:lncRNA from 1 species
AUGGUGAGUGCAGGACCACUGCCACAAAUGGAAGGAUCGGGCAGCUGAACAGUCUGAGCUGAAAUGCUGUGUCCUCUCCCACCGCUUGGAGGAUAGACACAAAUUCUAAUGGAGAGCAAGUCAGACCAGAGUUCUGGAAAAGGUCUGACCUGGGACUAGAAGCUCUAUUUAACCUUGAGGAGGGGUAAGACUCACUGGCCAAUCAAGGCCCCCAGGCGGACCUGUCAGUCAGACAGAGAGGGUUGUUCCGGAUAACUUGCUGCAGGUUUGUUUUGGAGUGCAGGAGUGAAUAGUCCUUUCUGUCCUGCUUUGAGUACUGCUGUUGGGUGCCAUGGGGGGACCUUAAGCAAGCUCUGAAGUUGAGACAUGGUGAGUGCGAGAUCACUGCCCAAAAAGGGGAGGGGCAGGCGGAUGAACAGCCAGAGCUGCAAUGGUGGAUCCUCCUCUAGGGCUGCACGGGACGAAGAUAGAGGAGGCUCUAGGAGGACAGGCACAAAGGCUACCCGAAUGCAAAGCACUCCCGAGAUCUGUAAAAGGACUGGCCCCGGACAGGAAGCACACUUUAAACUAGAGGAGGGGUAAGACUCGCUGGCCAAUCAAGGCUUCUGGGCGGAACUGCCAUUCAUACUUUGAGGCGGGGUCUAACGGUUGCCUGCUUGAAGUUUGUUUUUGCUCUGCAGGAUUAAACAGUUCUCUGUAUCCUGCUUUGAGCGCUGCUGUUGGGUGCUGUGAGGGGACCUCAAGUAAGCUCCAUUUUUGAAACAUGGUUUGUCUACACAGCUGGCUCCAAACUAUAACAAAGGAGAGACAACUGUGAUGUACAACCAGCCACUUGGCC